CCUACGGGUGGCAGCAGUGAGGAAUAUUGGUCAAUGGACGCAAGUCUGAACCAGCCAUGCCGCGUGCAGGAAGACGGCUCUAUGAGUUGUAAACUGCUUUUGUACGAGGGUAAACGCAGAUACGCGGAUCUGUCUGAAAGUAUCGUACGAAUAAGGAUCGGCUAACUCCGUGCCAGCAGCCGCGGUAAUACGGAGGGUUCAAGCGUUAUCCGGAUUUAUUUGGUUUAAAGGGUGCGUAGGCGGGCGUAUAAGUUAGAGGUGAAAGCCAGAGGCUCAACUUCGGAAUUGCCUUUGAGACUGUUCGGCUAGAGAGUAGUUGCGGUAGGCGGAAUGUAUGGUGUAGCGGUGAAAUGCUUAGAGAUCAGGCAGAACACCGAUUGCGAAGGCAGCUUACCAAGCUACUACUGACGUUGAGGCACGAAAGCGUGGGGAGCAAACAGGAUUAGAUACCCCUGUAGUC
rnacentral:rRNA from 1 species